rnacentral:rRNA from 1 species
GGAAUGAGAACAAUUUAAAUCUCUUAACGAGGAACAAUUGGAGGGCAAGUCUGGUGCCAGCAGCCGCGGUAAUUCCAGCUCCAAUAGCGUAUAUUAAAGUUGUUGCAGUUAAAAAGCUCGUAGUUGAAUUUCGGGAUCAAUAUUUCGGUCAUGCCGUUGGUAUGCACUGUUAUCAUUGAUUUCUCACCUUCUAAAGAACCGUAAUGCCAUUAAUUUGGUGUUACGGGGAAUUAGGACUGUUACCUUGAAAAAAUUAGAGUGUUUAAAGCAGGCUCACGCUUGAAUACAUUAGCAUGGAAUAAUGAAAUAGGACAUCCGAUUCUAUUUU